ensembl:lncRNA
GGUGCUGGGGACACUCCUGGGAGUGGCUACGUUUACAAAGAGGGUGUAGAACAACAACAGGGCCAGGCUGAGAGGGAGCUGCUGGGCUUGGUUCUGCCAGCCCCAGCCCUUUGUCUGCUGGGGGUCAGGGGCUGGGCGGGAGCCGGGCGCCUGGUGACCAGGCUUCUCAGGCCCUCAGGGGGCUCUCACUCUCCCGCCCUGUGCAGGGCCCUGCACGCAGCACAGAUUUCAUCAGUGCUUGUUGGGUCCCGGACUCAACCCUCCUCACCGGAAAGCUGCUCCGAAGGCCUGAGGCUGGGCUUAUUCACUGCCAACCAGGAGACUGGCUGCCAACGCAGGAGACGCAGGGAGAAGCCUGCCCAGCGUCAAUGGUCCAAACCCGGGGGGUUUCUGCAGCGUCGGGCCCUCAGCCUCAGGACUGCCUUUGGAGAGCGGAGUGCCUCGACCAUGACCUCUCCCCGCCCCCUCCAGAGGGCAUGGCACGCCCCUUGCUGCGCGACCUCUUCUGAAUGCUCCAGAGACAAAGGCUGGCAAGCCGGGUGCAGGAGGGGGUCCUGUCUGCCAGGUUCAGCCCUCAGCCGGCCCCCAGGCCUCCGUCCUGCCAAGGCUCACCGCGUUGACAUGAGCUCACUCCUCCAGACCUGCUUACCUUGCUGGCAGGUGGAGCGUAAGGGCCUGGACAGUUUCCCCUCACACGGCAGGGCCCCCUCCCCGAGCCUGGAAAGACGCAGAACUGCCAGAGGCCUCCCUCUUCUCCGGGGCUCCUGCCAAGGUCCUGACCCGGGCACCGAAAUAGGGUAACCUCAGAGGGUAACGGGGAGCUGUAAUCAGACAGCCUCCCCUGGAGCCUCCACCACCCUCCAGUUCUGACUCAGAAUGAUAGGGAGCGAGUGCAGCCCAGCCCUGCACCCCUUACUUCCUCCUUCUGGCCAGUGGCUACUCAACAGCUGAUUAUUCUACUGGGGAGAGGACAUGGAAGUCUGCUUUGUGGAUAAAAUCUUCUGUCUUAUAAACGUCUCUCCUCCUAAAAAUUCAUGUUGAUAUGGUGUGUGUGCGUGCUCAGUCGCUUCAGACGUGUCUGACUCUGUGUGCGACCUGUGGACUGUGGCCCGCCAGGCUCCUCUGUCCAUGGGAUUCUCCACGAAAGAAUACUGGACUGGGUUGCUGUGCCCUCCUCCAGGGGAUCUUCCUGACCCAGGGAUCAAACCCACAUCUAUUACAUCUCCUGCAUUGGCAGGAGUGUUCUUCACCACUAAUGCCUCCUGGGAAGCCUUAAUGUAUGGCAGAAACCACCGAUUAAAAAUAAAUACAUUUAAAAAAAAAAGUCCCUUCUUUGG